rnacentral:rRNA from 1 species
UACGUAGGGGGCAAGCGUUGUCCGGAUUUAUUGGGCGUAAAGAGCGUGUAGGCGGUCUGGUAGGUCCGUUGUGAAAACUCGAGGCUCAACCUCGAGACGCCGAUGGAAACCCUCAGACUAGAGUCCGGAAGAGGAGAGUGGAAUUCCUGGUGUAGCGGUGAAAUGCGCAGAUAUCAGGAAGAACACCCGUGGCUAAGGCGGCUUUCUGGACAGAAACUGACGCUGAUGCGCGAAAGCUAGGGGAGCAAACAGG